AACGAACGCUGGCGGCAGGCUUAACACAUGCAAGUCGAACGCCCCGCCAGGGGAGUGGCAGACGGGUGGGUAACGCGUGGGAACAUACCCUUUUCUACGGAAUAGCUCUGGGAAACUGGCAUUACUACCGUAUACGCCCUACGGGGGAAAGAUUUAUCGGGGAAGGAUUGGCCCGCGUUGGAUUAGCUAGUUGGUGGGGUAAAGGCCUACCAAAGCGACGAUCCAUAGCUGGUCUGAGAGGAUGAUCAGCCACAUUGGGACUGGGACACGGCCCAAACUCCUACGGGAGGCAGCAAUGGGGAAUAUUGGACAAUGGGCGCAAGCCUGAUCCAGCCAUGCCGCGUGAAUGAUGAAGGCCUUAGGGUUGUAAAGCUCUUUCACCGAUGAAGAUAAUGACGGUAGUCUGAGAAAAAGCCCCGGCUAACUUCGUG
rnacentral:rRNA from 1 species